UCCACGUGACUGGCGCCAUCUUUCUCCCGCUAGGGCACUGUGGGGAGCGCGUCCUGGCCGCCUGCCGAGUGACUGACGGGGAGUGUCGGCAUCUUACUACGCUCAGGAUGAGGCCAAAGUCACUGGAUGCUUUGAGGCAGAUGCUCCUGUCGGGCUCCCUAUGGUGACAGUCACAGUAAUGAUUGUGGUGUGGCCAAGAACUUGCAUAAGCCCUCCACCAUGGACAAUGCUCUGCAAACAUCAGCACAUGCAGUACUUCCUACCAAAGUAGACUGGACCAUAGUGGAGUCUCUCUGCUGGCUGACAUGAG